AAUGAACGUUGGCGGCGUGGAUUAGGCAUGCAAGUCGUGCGGAAAGGCUCCUUCGGGAGUACUCGAGCGGCGAAAGGGAGAGUAACGCGUGGAUAUCUACCCCCUGGUCUGGGAUAGCGGCGGGAAACUGCCGGUAAUACCAGAUAAUGUCUGCGGACCAAAGGUGUGAUUCCGCCGGGGGAUGAGUCCGGGUCCUAUUAGCUAGUUGGUGGGGUAAUGGCCUACCAAGGCGAAGAUGGGUACCGGGUGUGAGAGCAUGGCCCGGCUCACUGGGACUGAGACACUGCCCAGACACCUACGGGUGGCUGCAGUCGAGAAUCUUCGGCAAUGGGCGCAAGCCUGACCGAGCGACGCCGCGUGCGGGAUGAAGGCCUUCGGGCUGUAAACCGCUGUCAGAGGGGAGGAAAUGCGUGGUAGUUAUCUUCCAUGUUUGACCUAUCCUCAGAGGAAGUACGGGCUAAGUUCGUGCCAGCCGCCGCUGUAAAAC
rnacentral:rRNA from 1 species